AUACUAUUAAUAAUAUUAAGACUAUUUUGCUAUCGAAUUUUUGUCAAUAGCAAAAAAGUUCAAACACUAUUAAUAGUAUUUCAGCUCACAUCUCUCUCUCUAUAUAGAAUUGAGCUAAAAUACUCCCAAAAGCACCAAAGGGUUGGUGCUUUUGGAUUUGUAGUCCUUAGAUGGAGUGAUGUAGGAUUAUGAUGAUAAUAGUAGGCGGUAGUAGAUGGAAUAGUGUUUGAUCCAAAGGCUAAUAACAGUAGAUUCAAGGGCUAGAAACCUAAAAGCACCAAUGGCUUAGUGCUUUUAUAUAUAUAUAUAUGAUCUAUUAUAUAUUUUAUUGGCUAAAUUACAAAAAAAAAAAACCCGUUAAUACCUACUUUUUUAUUUACCCAAUAUCAUUCAAAAAUCUACAUUUUGCUCUCUUAAAAAAAUAAAAAAUGUUCACUUUGGCCCUGUCGUCAGUAUUCCAUUAGGUUUCAUUUAUAUCCUAUUUUUACAUCCAAAAUAUCCCUGAAACUCUCAUCCUUCCUCAUCCUUGGCCGCGCCGCCUCGCCGUCGCCCACCUCUCUAUUCAUGCGCGUACACACGCCCUCGGCCGCCUCCUCACCCUCGCCCUCGCCCACCUCUCUGUCCACACCCACCCCGAAAAA
rnacentral:lncRNA from 1 species